GUGCGGGCUAGCCUGGGGGGUUAGGCGUCCUCUGCAACUCGAAAUCGCCGAUAUGCGAGAGGCGAAGCUCGAGGGAGGCACCGUAGCCAUCAGUUUCAGCUCGAUGUCUAACGAAGAAAUGUCGUCCUGCGGGGUUGACGGUGGUAUGGUGGCAAACUGGAGGGUUUGUUAUUGUGCCUUUAUUAUGGAUACCGGUUUAGGCCCGGAAGGGAGCGGACUCACCGUGGACGGUUGGCGCUCGCAGGGUAGCGAUGUGGAGGAGGACAUUGAGGGUCUGGCUGGUAGCGAACGUGUCGAUCAAGAGCGUGCCCGCAC
rnacentral:SRP_RNA from 1 species